rnacentral:tRNA from 1 species
GGUGGAUUGCCGGAGCAGCCGAACGGACCCGACUGUAAAUCGGGCGCACAAUGUUGCCGCGCAGGUGCGAAUCCUGCAUCCACCA